rnacentral:rRNA from 1 species
GAUGAACGCUGGCGGCGUGCCUAAUACAUGCAAGUCGAGCGAACGGACGAGAAGCUUGCUUCUCUGAUGUUAGCGGCGGACGGGUGAGUAACACGUGGAUAACCUACCUAUAAGACUGGGAUAACUUCGGGAAACCGUAGCUAAUACCGGAUAAUAUUUUGAACCGCAUGGUUCAAAAGUGAAAGACGGUCUUGCUGUCACUUAUAGAUGGAUCCGCGCUGCAUUAGCUAGUUGGUAAGGUAACGGCUUACCAAGGCAACGAUGCAUAGCCGACCUGAGAGGGUGAUCGGCCACACUGGAACUGAGACACGGUCCAGACUCCUACGGGAGGCAGCAGUAGGGAAUCUUCCGCAAUGGGCGAAAGCCUGACGGAGCAACGCCGCGGGAGUGAUGAAGGUCUUCGGAUCGUAAAACUCUGUUAUUAGGGAAGAACAUAUGUGUAAGUAACUGUGCACAUCUUGACGGUACCUAAUCAGAAAGCCACGGCUAACUACGUG